UCAAUAUAAGUUUCCUGUUUCUCAGCAAGUCAGAUUCUUUUCAGCGCUUUAGCGCACAACAAGAAAUUCCUGCAAUAAAAAAGCUUAACUUUUCAAAAAGAGCAACUGAAGACCAUGGUGAGAAAAAUCCGAGAUAUAUCUGAGCUGGUAGAGUUUGGGUUUGGACAGCCGUGGCCCCGUCAUGGACUCCAACUCUUGUACUGGUUGGUUCAUGAAUGCAUUUAUCACACAGACACUGAUGUAAUUAUCCUGAGGUUUGACCCGGAAAGCGGAGAUUUUGGAUUUCACAUUUUUGAAAAUAGAUACAUUCAACGUAACAAAAAGCUUCUUCCAAAUAUGAGGUUUCCUUAUUAUUUGGUUGGCAAUCUUAAAUCACCAGGAGCUGAAAUGCUACCAGACUUCGUCAAGAAAUACUAUGAUGUUCAAAAUGCUAACAGCAAUGCGGAUCGUAUCAUCAUCAACGUUCAGGAAUACGGAGAGAUCGGGAAAGUUUAUCUGACCACACACAUAAAUCAGUCAGAUUAUGAUUCACGUGCCACAUUUCACAUCAGCAGGACUCUCCUCUUGAGCAUCAAAUCAUAUCAGAGUAUUGAUGACUUUCUGAAGGACACUGGGUAUCAAAAACCAAUUUACCAAAUGCUUUGUAUUGCAUUGCCAGAUAUCACUGACACCGAAUCACAGACCUCUUCCAGGAGAAGUGACAUCUCAACACACACAAAUAGUGAUAAAGAAAAAAAGAGAUUUGUGUGUGGAUGUACCAUACUAUAAAAAUGCUUUCAAUGUUUCAAAUAUGAUCCAGAGUACUCAUGAAAUCAUUUUUCAGAUUGAAAUAUUGAAAUAUUCAAUCUAUAAAGAUUGAGUAUGUUUUUGGAAAGCAAACAAACAUUUCUUUAAAAGUUUCACAUGUCAAAACUAUGAGAAUUGUGCUGUGACAAAAAAAUAUUAAAUAUAAAUAAAAGCUCUGUUAUAUUCUAGCAUCUUCAGUGUAGUCACCCUUUGCGUGAUUUGCAGAAAUGUCCCCUUAUUAUUUUCUAAAGCAACGUCUUGAGGUUUCACCCUGAGAUGCAUUUUAAACAGUAGUUCACAUCUAUCAUUGGCUGUUUUUGUGUAAUAUUCAGUUCAAGUCAUGUAUAUCAAAUUUGAUAUCUAAGCUCAAUUAUAUUUAUACAAAAUAAUUUCAAGAAUACAUAUUAAGAUUUACUGUAGUGUUGAACAGUAGUGUUCAUGUCAGUUGAUUUUGUGCUGUUUUUAUCUCUAGUGUUAUACUUUGCAAAGGAGGAAUGUUUGUGUUUUAUUCAUUAUAAGUGCUACCAGGGAGAGAAGCGUCUAUGUUAUCUUCAAGGUCAGCUGAUAAACAGACUAUUUCACCCAUGAAAGCUCCCAUAACUAAAGUAUCACAUCUGUACUUGUUUUCUGAAGCUUAACUGGUACUGCACUGCACCAAAAACAGCAAGGUUUGUUUAAACAGACUCUGAAUGCAUUGUUGCGUUGUAUGAAACCAUAUGCAAAAUUCAUGUUUUUCCAUAACAUUUCCUGCAGAUGUUUGAUCUCUUUCUAUAAUUCUGUUCAUCCGUCUAAAUAAACUCUUCAUUAAACCAAGAGUGUCAUUGGAAAUGUUA